GCCAGACUCCUACGGGAGGCAGCAGUGGGGGAUAUUGCACAAUGGGGGGAACCCUGAUGCAGCGACGCCGCGUGCGUGAAGGAGCGUUUCGGCGCGUAAAGCCCUAUCGGCAGGGAAGAAGGAGGACGGUACCUGACUAAGAAGCCCCGGCUAACUACGUGCCAGCAGCCGCGGUAAUACGUAGGGGGCAAGCGUUAUCCGGAUUUACUGGGUGUAAAGGGGGCGCAGACGGCAGCGCAAGCCAGGAGUGAAAGCCCGGGGCCCAACCCCGGGACUGCUCUUGGAACUGCGCGGCUGGAGUGCAGGAGGGGCAGGCGGAAUUCCUGGUGUAGCGGUGAAAUGCGUAGAUAUUAGGAGGAACACCGGUGGCGAAGGCGGCCUGCUGGACUGUGACUGACGUUGAGGCCCGAAGGCGUGGGGAGCAAACAGGAUUAGAUACCCUGGUA
rnacentral:rRNA from 1 species